ensembl:lncRNA
UGUACAUGCAUCAUGCGAGUGUGCUUGUCAACAGGUUUUUUUUUAUUAUUGAGUAUUCAAUUCAUAUAAUAGCAGAUAUGUUCUAAAAUCUCUAAAGUCCAAGUCUUUUGUUAUGAGUUAAGUCUCAGUUCCCUUUAGUUUUACAUAUAUUGCAGGUUUCAGGUUGCAUGUGUGCACAAUAGGAUAUUUAUUUGUUUUCCCUAUAGUAAAUGAAUUGGUAACUAUGGUAACCUGAAUUGGUUUACCUUCACAUUCUUAUCAUUAUAUACUUCUGUUUUAUUAGCAUUGUUUGCAUGGCAAAAUUGCUUUUAUCCAAGGUGAAUUUCAUUGAAUUCAGUGUAUACUGUUUGAGCUACAAGCAUUUAAAAUAGACAUCACACACUUGUAUAUACUGUAUAUUGUCUGUAGGUCCGAGUUGAAGUGCUGCUAUGAAAUGCAGGAGAAAAUGGCAGCGAGUGCAUGAUGUUCACCAGUCUUGUAUCUGAAGACUUAUUUGGAUGGACUUAUUUUUGUAGGAAGAGCUCAGAACUAUCUGAACAUUCUUUAUAGAUUGAAACUUUUUUUUGGCAAUUCUUGGAGUAAAAAUAACAGUUGGUGGUUUCAGUUCUGCUGGGAUACCAUCCAAUUUAAAGAGGGAAUCAAUAAGGAGUCCGAUCAUGGAAACUGUUCAGAUCAGCCACUGGAGUAGCACCGACUGACAUUUGCAGCACAGAAACCUCAGGAUGUGAGACAAGUCCAUUGGAUCCUGUUGCUACCGAUCUGGGUUUGGAUCGAGAUCCACUAUGUCCUCUGAAGGCAGCGGUGAGUCCUGUUGUUGUAUUGACGUGUUGUUGCUCUAAGAGCUCCAGUUUGGCAGGUUCACCUUAUUUCAGCUCACAGUUUCAUUAAUGUUGUUGUUGCAAUGUAGUAGUUGUGGCCUUGAACAGAAUAAUGUGCUUUGUGCAGAAACAGAAGCCUCUAACAUAAUCUGGUUUUACUGAUUCACCAUUAGCUUCAUCAGGAUUUUCUAAUGUUUUUUUUUUUUUUAGAAUAGUAGUUUUGGGUUUUUAAUAAAAUAAGAUCCGUGUUUAACA